UCAGUUUGUCAAGGACCAUUUGGAUGAUCCAGAGAAGUCAUGGGAGAAAGUCAUGUGGUCAGAUGAGACCAAGAUAGAACUUUGAUGAGUACCAUCCCAAGAACACCUUCCCUACUGUGAAGCUUUGUGGUGCAGUUAGCCUCUAGAGGCUAGCUCCAGCCAGCUAUGGCCUCUCCCCGCUCUGACUCCCAUGGCUUGCUUCUCCAAUGUGCCACUGUCCUACUCCUGGGCAGUCGUAGUCUCGAACCCGCCUUCUCUGCUCUGCAGGGAUUAAAGUGUUCAGGCCCCGGCUUGUAGCGAUUCCUCGUGGGUA